rnacentral:misc_RNA from 1 species
UUGAAUGGUCUUUGACCUUCUACCCUUAAAACAUGUGGAAGCAAACAUUGUGCUUCGGCCCCCCUUUUGGGUGUGGCCGCUUUUAUGCAGAAACCCGUGUGUCGUCUGAAUGAAAACAUUAAAAUCA